rnacentral:lncRNA from 1 species
ACAUCUUUACCAAACCCCUUGACCAAGCCCAGUUUACUCGCUUGCGAGGGGAGCUUGGUGUUUGUUUCCCUUUUUAGUUGAGGGGAACUUUGGUUUUUGUACUCUAGUUUCAUUUUCUUUUAGUUUAGCUUUUAUUUUAUUUUUGUAUCAUAUUGCAUUGCAUUUCAUCUCAUCAUGUAUAUUAGAGCAUUUUGAGCUUCAUGAUUAUAGUUGUUAGAUUGAGAUUAUGCUCUUUGUGAUAUGUCUUGUAUGUACAUGAUGGUGCUUGUCGCUUAGGCUCCUUUUGAUCACUUGAUGCAUGUUAUGAGCUAAGCAUGUUUUAUAACUUGUGAACUUGACAUAAACUUGUUGAAACCUGAAAAUUAUUCACCAUUGUGAUUGGCAACUAGCAUGUGUAGGAUGUGUUGAGAUCACUUGAGCUAUCAUUUAUAUGCUAGGUUGCUAUGACUCAUGCUUUGAGUUAUACACUUGCUUGGACAACUUGUAAAUUCUU